rnacentral:rRNA from 1 species
CCUUACCUGGCCUUGACAUACUAAGAACUUUCCAGAGAUGGAUUGGUGCCUUCGGGAACUUAGAUACAGGUGCUGCAUGGCUGUCGUCAGCUCGUGUCGUGAGAUGUUGGGUUAAGUCCCGCAACGAGCGCAACCCUUUUCCUAUUUGCCAGCGGGUAAUGCCGGGAACUUUAAGGAUACUGCCAGUGACAAACUGGAGGAAGGCGGGGACGACGUCAAGUCAUCAUGGCCCUUACGGCCAGGGCUACACACGUGCUACAAUGGUCGGUACAAAGGGUUGCUACCUCGCGAAAGGAUGCUAAUCUCAAAAAGCCGAUCGUAGUCCGGAUCGCAGUCUGCAACUCGACUGCGUGAAGUCGGAAUCGCUAGUAAUCGCGGAUCAGAAUGCCGCGGUGAAUACGUUCCCGGGCCUUGUACACACCGCCCGUCACACCAUGGGAGUUUGUUGCACCAGAAGUAGGUAGUCUAACCGCAAGGAGGACGCUUACCACGGUGUGGCCGAUGACUGGGGUGAAGUCGUAACAAGGUAGGCGUAGAUGA